GCGAGCUUGCCUAGAUGAUUUUAGUGCUUGCACUAAAUGAAACUAGAUACAAGCGAGCGGCGGACGGGUGAGUAACACGUGGGUAACCUGCCCAAGAGACUGGGAUAACACCUGGAAACAGAUGCUAAUACCGGAUAACAACACCAGACGCAUGUCUAGAGUUUGAAAGAUGGUUCUGCUAUCACUCUUGGAUGGACCUGCGGUGCAUUAGCUAGUUGGUAAGGUAACGGCUUACCAAGGCAAUGAUGCAUAGCCGAGUUGAGAGACUGAUCGGCCACAUUGGGACUGAGACACGGCCCAAACUCCUACGGGAGGCAGCAGUAGGGAAUCUUCCACAAUGGACGAAAGUCUGAUGGAGCAACGCCGCGUGAGUGAAGAAGGGUUUCGGCUCGUAAAGCUCUGUUGGUAGUGAAGAAAGAUAGAGGUAGUAACUGGCCUUUAUUUGACGGUAAUUACUUAGAAAGUCACGGCUAACUACGUGCCAGCAGCCGCGGUAAUACGUAGGUGGCAAGCGUUGUCCGGAUUUAUUGGGCGUAAAGCGAGUGCAGGCGGUUCAAUAAGUCUGAUGUGAAAGCCUUCGGCUCAACCGGAGAAUUGCAUCAGAAACUGUUGAACUUGAGUGCAGAAGAGGAGAGUGGAACUCCAUGUGUAGCGGUGGAAUGCGUAGAUAUAUGGAAGAACACCAGUGGCGAAGGCGGCUCUCUGGUCUGCAACUGACGCUGAGGCUCGAAAGCAUGGGUAGCGAACAGGAUUAGAUACCCUGGUAGUCCAUGCCGUAAACGAUGAGUGCUAAGUGUUGGGAGGUUUCCGCCUCUCAGUGCUGCAGCUAACGCAUUAAGCACUCCGCCUGGGGAGUACGACCGCAAGGUUGAAACUCAAAGGAAUUGACGGGGGCCCGCACAAGCGGUGGAGCAUGUGGUUUAAUUCGAAGCAACGCGAAGAACCUUACCAGGUCUUGACAUCCAGUGCAAACCUAAGAGAUUAGGUGUUCCCUUCGGGGACGCUGAGACAGGUGGUGCAUGGCUGUCGUCAGCUCGUGUCGUGAGAUGUUGGGUUAAGUCCCGCAACGAGCGCAACCCUUGUCAUUAGUUGCCAUCAUUAAGUUGGGCACUCUAAUGAGACUGCCGGUGACAAACCGGAGGAAGGUGGGGAUGACGUCAAGUCAUCAUGCCCCUUAUGACCUGGGCUACACACGUGCUACAAUGGACGGUACAACGAGAAGCGAACCUGCGAAGGCAAGCGGAUCUCUUAAAGCCGUUCUCAGUUCGGACUGUAGGCUGCAACUCGCCUACACGAAGCUGGAAUCGCUAGUAAUCG
rnacentral:rRNA from 1 species